rnacentral:lncRNA from 1 species
AACAUCUUUCGGAUGUUGAAAAUUAUAGGACUCCCUGUGAGUCGGUUCAGGAUCGUUCUGAUUCGAAUGUCGACUUGUAAAGUCGAUGUUUCGAUAGUAAGGGUUGUGAAAUCGUGGUUCAGUGAAGAGGUAUCAGGUGGCUUGAUACUUCCACAUGUCACACUUCCAACUUGUUGUUGGUAGUGGAUCUUCGGAUAUUUCGCUUUUCUUUUGAUAAGUAUAUUGGCUGCAGACAGUAUACUGUCGAAAGAGGGACGAAAUACUAUCU